rnacentral:rRNA from 1 species
GAUGAACGCUGGCGGCGUGCUUAACACAUGCAAGUCGAACGAAGCUGUUAAAAGGAAGUCUUCGGAUGGAAUUUUAACAGACUUAGUGGCGGACGGGUGAGUAACGCGUGGAUAACCUGCCUUAUACAGGGGGAUAACGGAGAGAAAUUUCCGCUAAGACCGCAUAAGACCACAGCACCGCAUGGUGCAGGGGUAAAAUAUUAAUAGGUAUAAGAUGGAUCCGCGUCCGAUUAGCUGGUUGGUGAGGUAGAGGCUCACCAAGGCGACGAUCGGUAGCCGGCCUGAGAGGGUGAACGGCCACAUUGGGACUGAGACACGGCCCAAACUCCUACGGGAGGCAGCAGUGGGGAAUAUUGGACAAUGGGGGAAACCCUGAUCCAGCGACGCCGCGUGAGUGAAGAAGUAUUUCGGUAUGUAAAGCUCUAUCAGCAGGGAAGAAAAUGACCGGUACCUGACUAA